rnacentral:rRNA from 1 species
AGCAGCCGCGGUAAUUCCAGCUCCAAUAGCGUAUAUUAAAGUUGUUGCAGUUAAAAAGCUCGUAGUUGAAUUUCGGGGUCAGUAGAUUGGUCGUGCCACUGGUAUGUACUGGCCUCACUGGCUCCUCCUUCCUGAUGAACCGUAAUGCCAUUAAUUUGGUGUUGCGGGGAGACUGGACUGUUACUUUGAAAAAAUUAGAGUGUUUAAAGCAGGCUAACGCUUGAAUACAUUAGCAUGGAAUAAUGAAAUAGGACGUUCGAUCUUAUUUUGUUGGUUUCUAAGAUUGACGUAAUGAUUAAUAGGGAUAGUUGGGGGCAUUAGUAUUCAAUUGUCAGAGGUGAAAUUCUUGGAUUUAU